GUGAAGAACGCAGCGAACUGCGAUAAGUAAUGUGAAUUGCAGAAUUCAGUGAAUCAUCGAGUCUUUGAACGCACAUUGCGCCCCCUGGCAUUCCGGGGGGCAUGCCUGUCCGAGCGUCAUUGCUGCCCUUCAAGCCCGGCUUGUGUGUUGGGUCGUCGUCCCCCCCGGGGGACGGGCCCGAAAGGCAGCGGCGGCACCGCGUCCGGUCCUCGAGCGUAUGGGGCUUUGUCACCCGCUCGAUUAGGGCCGGCCGGGCGCCAGCCGGCGUCUCCAACCUUCUAUUUUACCAGGUUGACCUCGGAUCAGGUAGGGAUACCCGCUGAACUUAAGCAUAUCAAUAAGCGGAGGA
rnacentral:misc_RNA from 1 species